UCCCGUGUGGCUCAGUUGGUAGAGCAUGGUGUUUGCAACGCCAGGGAUGUGGGUUCGAUUCCCACAGGGGAC
rnacentral:tRNA from 1 species